UACAGAGGGGGCCAGCGUUAUUCGGAAUUAUUGGGCGUAAAGGGCGCGCAGGCGGCUCAUUUUGUCAGGCGUGAAAGCCCCGGGCUUAACCUGGGAACUGCGUCUGAUACUGGAUGGCUUGAGUUUGGGAGAGGGAUGCGGAAUUCCAGGUGUAGCGGUGAAAUGCGUAGAUAUCUGGAGGAACACCGGUGGCGAAGGCGGCAUCCUGGACCAACACUGACGCUGAGUGAGCGAAAGCCAGGGGAGCAAACGGG
rnacentral:rRNA from 1 species